GAAAUGCGAUAAUUAAUGUGAAUUGCAGAAUUCAGUGAAUCAUCGAGUCUUUGAACGCACAUUGCGCCCCCUGGUAUUCCGGGGGGCAUGCCUGUCCGAGCGUCAUUGCUGCCCUCAAGCACGGCUUGUGUGUUGGGCUUCCGUCCCUGGCAACGGGGACGGGCCCAAAAGGCAGUGGCGGCACCAUGUCUGGUCCUCGAGCGUAUGGGGCUUUGUCACCCGCUCCCGUAGGUCUAGCUGGCAGCUAGCCUCGCAACCAAUCUUUUUAACCAGGUUGACCUCGGAUCAGGUAGGGAUACCCGCUGAACUUAAGC
rnacentral:misc_RNA from 1 species